GCAGUAAGCUGGACAGCCGCGCGGGCGGGGCGAAAGGCCCGCCUGUGAGGAAAGUCCGGGCUCCGCAGGGCAAGGAUAACGGGUAACACCCGCCGGGUAUCCGGAGCAACGCCGUGGAGGGACAUACAGGCCGGCCCGGCCGUCCCGGGGAGGCGGCUAGAGCGCGUCAGCAAUGGCGCGUCGAGAUAGAUGGCUGUCUUAAAAGACAGAACCCGGCUUACAGGCUUUCUGCAACA
rnacentral:RNase_P_RNA from 1 species